rnacentral:rRNA from 1 species
AAGUUGCAGGGUAUAGACCCGAAACCCGGUGAUCUAGCCAUGGGCAGGUUGAAGGUUGGGUAACACUAACUGGAGGACCGAACCGACUAAUGUUGAAAAAUUAGCGGAUGACUUGUGGCUGGGGGUGAAAGGCCAAUCAAACCGGGAGAUAGCUGGUUCUCCCCGAAAGCUAUUUAGGUAGCGCCUCGUGAAUUCAUCUCCGGGGGUAGAGCACUGUUUCGGCAAGGGGGUCAUCCCGACUUACCAACCCGAUGCAAACUGCGAAUACCGGAGAAUGUUAUCACGGGAGACACACGGCGGGUGCUAACGUCCGUCGUGAAGAGGGAAACAACCCAGACCGCCAGCUAAGGUCCCAAAGUCAUGGUUAAGUGGGAAACGAUGUGGGAAGGCCCAGACAGCCAGGAUGUUGGCUUAGAAGCAGCCAUCAUUUAAAGAAAGCGUAAUAGCUCACUGGUCGAGUCGGCCUGCGCGGAAGAUGUAACGGGGCUAAACCAUGCACCGAAGCUGCGGCAGCGACACUGUGUGUUGUUGGGUAGGGGAGCGUUCUGUAAGCCUGUGAAGGUGUGCUGUGAGGCAUGCUGGAGGUAUCAGAAGUGCGAAUGCUGACAUAAGUAACGAUAAAGCGGGUGAAAAGCCCGCUCGCCGGAAGACCAAGGGUUCCUGUCCAACGUUAAUCGGGGCAGGGUGAGUCGACCCCUAAGGCGAGGCCGAAAGGCGUAGUCGAUGGGAAACAGGUUAAUAUUCCUGUACUUGGUGUUACUGCGAAGGGGGGACGGAGAAGGCUAUGUUGGCCGGGCGACGGUUGUCCCGGUUUAAGCGUGUAGGCUGGUUUUCCAGGCAAAUCCGGAAAAUCAAGGCUGAGGCGUGAUGACGAGGCACUACGGUGCUGAAGCAACAAAUGCCCUGCUUCCAGGAAAAGCCUCUAAGCAUCAGGUAACAUCAAAUCGUACCCCAAACCGACACAGGUGGUCAGGUAGAGAAUACCAAGGCGCUUGAGAGAACUCGGGUGAAGGAACUAGGCAAAAUGGUGCCGUAACUUCGGGAGAAGGCACGCUGAUAUGUAGGUGAAGUCCCUCGCGGAUGGAGCUGAAAUCAGUCGAAGAUACCAGCUGGCUGCAACUGUUUAUUAAAAACACAGCACUGUGCAAACACGAAAGUGGACGUAUACGGUGUGACGCCUGCCCGGUGCCGGAAGGUUAAUUGAUGGGGUCAGCGCAAGCGAAGCUCUUGAUCGAAGCCCCGGUAAACGGCGGCCGUAACUAUAACGGUCCUAAGGUAGCGAAAUUCCUUGUCGGGUAAGUUCCGACCUGCACGAAUGGCGUAAUGAUGGCCAGGCUGUCUCCACCCGAGACUCAGUGAAAUUGAACUCGCUGUGAAGAUGCAGUGUACCCGCGGCAAGACGGAAAGACCCCGUGAACCUUUACUAUAGCUUGACACUGAACAUUGAGCCUUGAUGUGUAGGAUAGGUGGGAGGCUUUGAAGUGUGGACGCCAGUCUGCAUGGAGCCGACCUUGAAA